rnacentral:rRNA from 1 species
AGCGAACGCUGGCGGCGUGCCUAAUACAUGCAAGUCGAGCGAACAGACGAGGAGCUUGCUCCUCUGAUGUUAGCGGCGGACGGGUGAGUAACACGUGGAUAACCUACCUAUAAGACUGGGAUAACUUCGGGAAACCGGAGCUAAUACCGGAUAACAUGUUGAACCGCAUGGUUCAACAGUGAAAGACGGUCUUGCUGUCACUUAUAGAUGGAUCCGCGCCGCAUUAGCUAGUUGGUAAGGUAACGGCUUACCAAGGCAACGAUGCGUAGCCGACCUGAGAGGGUGAUCGGCCACACUGGAACUGAGACACGGUCCAGACUCCUACGGGAGGCAGCAGUAGGGAAUCUUCCGCAAUGGGCGAAAGCCUGACGGAGCAACGCCGCGUGAGUGAAGAAGGUCUUCGGAUCGUAAAACUCUGUUAUUAGGGAAGAACAAAUGUGUAAGUAACUAUGCACGUCUUGACGGUACCUAAUCAGAAAGCCACGGCUAACUACGUG